rnacentral:sRNA from 22 species
CCCUAGCCCUGAUGGAAGCGGCAUCCUUUUAUCGCGCCGCGGCGGAUAAAAGAUACAGCGGACAGCAGGAACAGCU